UCUCCUACAGCACGCGUGAUUCACUAUAAUCGAUGCCUCUUCGGUUUCUCCUCGACCAUAUCACCACUCAUCAUUCAAAAAUCACUUUGUGUUCUCCGUCAUAACAAUAAUUUCUAUAUCAUUGCUUCUUAUUAAUUUCUGAAGGCUCUCCUGAUUAUUUAUACACUUUUCUUCGUAAGUCCAUGGUUCCGAUGACACCAAUAUCUUAUCCGGCAACGUUCCCUAUCACCAACCAACAAGCCACUCAACCUCAACACCAAUCAACUCUCACGCCUUCUGCACAUUCCUCUCAUGUAUCUCAUCUCUCCGCGGCGGCCUCUCUCACCGCCCAUGGAUGGAACUCAUUGAUUGGAGCUCGCUAGCCCUGAUUCUCUCACCUACUCCGCAUACCAGAUCCGUAAAAAUUUCGCCUACUUCAAGGCUAAAUCAUAGAAUGCUGUUUGGUAUCUUUCUGUGGGCCUUAAGAGAGAGCUCAAGUUUGCAUUGGAAUCAUUCUAGGAUGCUGCAUGUUCAUGUCCCAUUGACACCACCACUAACAGUGGUUAAUCUAACAAAGACGGCAUCUUCUUCUGAUUACAGUGGUUAAUCUAGCGGAGACAUCACCUUUGGAUCCACAACGGUGGACAAGACGUUGAUGGAGUCUUGCCACCGGUCCACCGCCUUUGGGAGUCUGAUGAGGGAACUGCUCUCAGAUAAUGGAAAAGUAAGUUGCAGUUUAUUUCAGGUUCACGUAGCUAGUUGAUAUUUUGAAGACCACUCAGUUCGGUGGCAUUUCAGUUUCCAGCAAAAUAUCUUGUAGAUAUUGCAGAGAGAAACCAGGCCCGUUUCAGCCAAGGGUCAGUGGCAUUUCAAUUUCCAACAAAGAUCUUAUAGUAUUGCGGAGAGAACCAGGCCAGUUUCAGCCAAGAUAUGGGUUUAUUUACUUAUCUCCGUGGCCGGAUACGUGUUAUAGUGACCGGUUAAGAUAAAUAUUAUACGGCCAAGCAAUAUUAAUACCAAGCAAAGCUCAUCUACGUUAUGUUUCAGGUCUAUUACCGUCGAUGGCAUUUCAGUUUCCAGCAAAGAUCUUAUAGAUUGCGAAGAGGACCAGGCUGAAAUUUAUACCAAUAACAAGUUUUAGUUUAGCCGUUUUUAUCUGAAGAUAUCCGUCUUAGGUGCUUCUGGUUGUAAAGCAUAAAUUAACCGGCUCCAAAUGUAUUUAUCCAAUCAUAGUAUAGUUUAGCUUCUUAUCACAUAUUCGUAAUUACUGGCUAACAUUGGAUAUCAUUAAGAGAUAGCCUCUCCUUGUAUUCAGUACAUUCAUCCUUACAAAAU